CACAACAGUGCCACGCUCUCAGAACAGGCUCAAAAACAGGCAGCAUUAUUCAGAGAGCAAAAUUAUGUCAAUUGCAAAGAUUGCCACGGCUGCUACGUAUCCUUUUAGCUAUUAUUUACACAAGCACUCAUUAUACAGCUGGUAAUUAAAGUUUUGGAAAAUAUUCUGGUCUUGCAGUAAUGGCAGAAGCAGUCUGGCUGGUAGGAACUGUAUCAUAAAGGUAGCAGCUCCUUCUAUUACACGCAGCAUUUCCCAUUUGAUGGCUAAAACAUUCUGCAGGGGACAAGAUCUAUGGAGUCUGCAAAUAUAGGUCUUGAAAACCUCCAAGGACAGUGCACAACCUCUCUGGGCAGCCUGAUCCACCUGGUGUGACUGUCCUCAGGAUGCAGAAACUCAGCCAACCACUUGUGAGUACCUGAGAUUAGAGGUGGCACCAGCAUUUAAAAAGACAUGUGUUAUACCAGGUUUGCUACAGAAUUACCCGAAACCCACUUCAACUGAUGUGAGGAACUUCCAGCACCUGUCACUUCAACAGUGUGUCUUCUGUCUUCUAAAACAGUUCACUAACAGGAGCCGCAAGAUCUAACGCCACUCAGACAACUCCCUUUGG